rnacentral:lncRNA from 8 species
ACUUGUUCCUGCAGUGCUGUUAGCUGUGCCAUGUGUUCCUCUCCCUCCUCUUGCAGUGCUGUUAGCUGUGCCAUGUGUUCCUCUCUAUCCCGCUGCAGUGCUGUUAGCUGUGCCAUGUGUUCCUCUCCCUCCUCUUGCAGUGCUGUUAGCUGUGCCAUGUGUUCCUCUCUAUCCCUCUGCAGUGCUGUUAGCUGUGCCAUGUGUUCCUCUCCCUCCUCUUGCAGUGCUGUUAGCUAUGCCAUGUGUUUCUCUCUAUCCCUCUGCAGUGCUGUUAGCUGUGCCAUGUGUUUCUCUCUAUCCCUCUGCAGUGCUGUUAGCUGUGCCAUGUGUUCCUCUCUAUCCCUCUGCAGUGCUGUUAGCUGUGCCAUGUGUUCCUCUCCCUCCUCUUGCAGUGCUGUUAGCUGUGCCAUGUGUUUCUCUCUAUCCUCCUGCAGUGCUGUUAGCUGUGCCAUGUGUUCCUCUCUAUCCCUCUGCAGUGCUGUUAGCUGUGCCAUGUGUUCCUCUCCCUCCUCUUGCAGUGCUGUUAGCUAUGCCAUGUGUUUCUCUCUAUCCCUCUGCAGUGCUGUUAGCUGUGCCAUGUGUUCCUCUCUAUCCCUCUGCAGUGCUGUUAGCUGUGCCAUGUGUUUCUCUCUAUCCCUCUGCAGUGCUGUUAGCUGUGCCAUGUGUUUCUCUCUAUCUCUCUGCAGUGAUGUUAGCUGUGCCAUGUGUUCCUCUCUAUCCCUCUGCAGUGCUGUUAGCUGUGCCAUGUGUUCCUCUCCCUCCUCCUGCAGUGCUGUUAGCUGUGCCAUGUGUUCCUCUCUAUCCCUCUGCAGUGCUGUUAGCUGUGCCAUGUGUUCCUCUCUAUCCCUCUGCAGUGCUGUUAGCUGUACCAUGUGUUUCUCUCUAUCCCUCUGCAGUGCUGUUAGCUGUGCCAUGUGUUUCUCUCUAUCCCUCUGCAGUGAUGUUAGCUGUACCAUGUGUUUCUCUCUAUCCCUCUGCAGUGCUGUUAGCUGUGCCAUGUGUUCCUCUCUCUCCUCCUACAGUGCUGUUAGCUGUGCCAUGUGUUCCUCUCCCUCCUCCUGCAGUGCUGUUAGCUGUGCCAUGUGUUCCUCUCCCUCCUCCUGCAGUGCAGUUAGCUGUGCCAUGUGUUCCUCUCUAUCCCUCUGCAGUGCUGUUAGCUGUGCCAUGUGUUCCUCUCCAUCCUCCUGCAGUGCAGUUAGCUCUCUCAGACAUACAUCUACAGUUAAAGUGGGAAGUUUACAUACACCUUAGCCAACCACAUUUAAACUCAGUUUUUCACAGUUCCUGACAUUUAAUCCUAGUAAAAAAUUCCCUGUCUUAGGUCAGUAAGGAUCACCACUUUAUUUUAAGAAUGUGAAAUGUCAGAAAAAUAGUAGAGAGAAUGAUUUAUUUCAGCUUUUAUUUCUUUCAUCUCAUUCCCAGUGGGUCAGAAGUUUACAUACACUCAAUUAGUAUUUGGUAGCAUUGCCUUUAAAUGGUUUAACUUUUCGGGUAGCCUUCCACAAGCUUCCCACAAUAAGUUGGGUGAAUUUUGGUCCAUUCCUCCUGACAGAGUUGGUGUAACUGAGUCAGGUUUGUAGGCCUUGUAGGUCUUGAGAUGUUGCUUCAAUAUAACCACAUCAUUUUCCUGCCUUAUGAUGCCAUCUAUUUUGUGAAGUGCACCAGUCCCUCCUGCAGCAAAGCACACCCACAACAUGAUGCUGCCACCACCGAGCUUCACGGUUGGGAUGGUGUUCUUUGGAUUGCAAGCCUCCCCCUUUUUCCUCCAAACAUAAUGAUGGUCAUUAUGACCAAACAGUUCUAUUUUUGUUU